UCAGUUUGAUCCUGGCUCAGAUUGAACGCUGGCGGUAUGCUUAACACAUGCAAGUCGAACGGUAACAGGCAAAGCUUGCUUUGCGCUGACGAGUGGCGGACGGGGGAGUAACGCGUGGGAAUCUGCCUACUAGCGGGGGAUAGCCCGGAGAAAUCCGGAUUAAUACCGCAUAAGCCCUACGGGGGAAAGCUGGGGAUCUUCGGACCUGGCACUAGUAGAUGAGCCCGCGUUAGAUUAGCUUGUUGGUGGGGUAAUGGCCUACCAAGGCAACGAUCUAUAGCUGGUCUGAGAGGACGAUCAGCCACACUGGGACUGAGACACGGCCCAGACUCCUACGGGAGGCAGCAGUGGGGAAUAUUGCACAAUGGGCGCAAGCCUGAUGCAGCAAUACCGCGUGUGUGAAGAAGGCCUGAGGGUUGUAAAGCACUUUCAAAAGUGAAGAAAAGUUGUUGGUUAAUAACCUUCAACCUUGACGUUAACUAUACAAGAAGCACCGGCUAACUCCGUGCCAGCAGCCGCGGUAAUACGGAGGGUGCGAACGUUAAUCGGAAUUACUGGGCGUAAAGCGCGCGUAGGCGGUUUGUUAAGUGGGAUGUGAAAGCCCCGGGCUCAACCUGGGAAUUGCGUUCCAAACUGGCAAGCUAGAGUAUGGUAGAGGAAGGUAGAAUUCCCUGUGUAGCGGUGAAAUGCGUAGAUAUAGGGAGGAAUACCAGUGGCGAAGGCGGCCUUCUGGACCAAUACUGACGCUGAGGUGCGAAAGCGUGGGGAGCAAACAGGAUUAGAUACCCUGAGUCCACGCCGUAAACGAUGUCAACUAGCCGUUGGGCCCCUUGAGGGUUUAGUGGCGCAGCUAACGCGAUAAGUUGACCGCCUGGGGAGUACGGCCGCAAGGCUAAAACUCAAAUGAAUUGACGGGGGCCCGCACAAGCGGUGGAGCAUGUUGUUUAAUUCGAUGCAACGCGAAGAACCUUACCAUCCCUUGACAUCCUAGGAACUUGGUAGAGAUACCUUGGUGCCUUCGGGAACCUAGUGACAGGUGCUGCAUGGCUGUCGUCAGCUCGUGUCGUGAGAUGUUGGGUUAAGUCCCGUAACGAGCGCAACCCUUAUCCUUAUUUGCCAGCGAGUAAUGUCGGGAACUCUAAGGAGACUGCCGGUGACAAACCGGAGGAAGGCGGGGACGAGGUCAAGUCAUCAUGGCCCUCACGGGAUGGGCUACAAACGUGCUACAAUGGGGGGUACAAAGGGCUGCAAACUCGCGAGAGUAAGCGAAUCCCAAAAAACCCCUCGUAGUCCGGAUCGGAGUCUGCAACUCGACUCCGUGAAGUCGGAAUCGCUAGUAAUCGCGAAUCAGAAUGUCGCGGUGAAUACGUUCCCGGGCCUUGUACACACCGCCCGUCACGUCAUGGAAGUGGGUUGCACCAGAAGUAGCUAGUCUAACCUUCGGGAGGACGGUUACCACGGUGUGAUUCAUGACUGGGACGAAGGGUGAAGUCGUAACAAGGUAACC
rnacentral:rRNA from 1 species